UUAUCUUAGCGGUGGAUCACUUGGCUCGUGCGUCGAUGAAGAACACAGCUAGCUGCGAGAACUAAUGUGAUUUGCAGGACACAAAUAAUUAAUAAAAGCAAAAAAUUCAAAUCAUGCAUUUGUAUCA
rnacentral:rRNA from 1 species